CGGGCUAUAGUGUAAUGGUAGCACGAGUCCUUUGGGAGGAUUUAGUCUGAGUUCAAAUCUCAGUAGCCCGA
rfam:Parcubacteria group bacterium GW2011_GWA2_38_13b GWA2_OD1-rel_38_13_curated_7, whole genome shotgun sequence.